UACGAAGGGGGCUAGCGUUGCUCGGAAUUACUGGGCGUAAAGGGUGCGUAGGCGGCGCGGUAAGUCGGGUGUGAAAUCUCGGGAGCUUAACUCCGAAACUGCAUUCGAUACUGCCGUGCUUGAGGACUGGAGAGGAGACUGGAAUUUACGGUGUAGCGGUGAAAUGCGUAGAUAUCGUAAGGAAGACCAGUGGCGAAGGCGGGGUCUCUGGACAGUUCCUGA
rnacentral:rRNA from 1 species